rnacentral:pre_miRNA from 1 species
UCUUAUGGAUGAGCAAAUAAAGUGGUUUCUUGAGAUGGAAUACAUUCUUGGUGAGGAUGCUGUGAA